CCUACGGGGGGCAGCAGUGAGGAAUAUUGGUCAAUGGCCGGAAGGCUGAACCAGCCAAGUCGCGUGAGGGAAUAAGGCCCUAUGGGUCGUAAACCUCUUUUGUCAGGGAGCAAAGGCGUCCACGUGUGGACGAGAGGAGAGUACCUGAAGAAAAAGCAUCGGCUAACUCCGUGCCAGCAGCCGCGGUGAUACGGAGGAUGCGAGCGUUAUCCGGAUUUAUUGGGUUUAAAGGGUGCGUAGGUGGUUAAUUAAGUCAGCGGUGAAAGUUUGUGGCUCAACCAUAAAAUUGCCGUUGAAACUGGUUG
rnacentral:rRNA from 1 species